CAAGAUGGCAGAGGAGGAGGACGGGGAGAACACUUUCUCCCCCACAAAUUCAUCAAAAGAGCAUUUAAACGUCGAGUAAAUUCCACAAAACAACUUCUGAAUGCCGGCAGAGGACAUCAAGCACCCAGAAAAGCAAUUCAACUCUUCGAAAGGAGAUGUGCUUGAGCAGUGGACACUGAGUCCUCUGAUGCACCCAUUUCCAGCUGCAACUGAACAAGACAACACUCUGUCUGGCCUUGGCUCUCACUUGGAGAUGACCAGAGGAUGGAAACAGAAGUGGACAGUACGGUGAGAGCAGAAGCUCUGGCUCUGGCACUUGCCAGUGGAGGGGCCUCAGGUGGAUUCUUCACUACUGAGCCAUCAGGAAAGCCAGAAACUGAGCCCAAAAUUGAGAACUCCUUGCUAUUAAUAGUUGUAUGAGGAGCUUUCCUGGAGAACACAGAUGGCAACAGAGCUUUGUUCAAUGGAAAGCUGCCCACUGUGAAC
ensembl:lncRNA